rnacentral:rRNA from 1 species
CCUACGGGGGGCUGCAGUGGGGAAUAUUGCACAAUGGGCGCAAGCCUGAUGCAGCCAUGCCGCGUGUGUGAAGAAGGCCUUCGGGUUGUAAAGCACUUUCAGCGGGGAGGAAGGCGGUGAGGUUAAUAACCUCAUCGAUUGACGUUACCCGCAGAAGAAGCACCGGCUAACUCCGUGUCAGCAGCCGCGGUAAUACGGAGGGUGCAAGCGUUAAUCGGAAUUACUGGGCGUAAAGCGCACGCAGGCGGUCUGUCAAGUCGGAUGUGAAAUCCCCGGGCUCAACCUGGGAACUGCAUUCGAAACUGGCAGGCUAGAGUCUUGUAGAGGGGGGUAGAAUUCCAGGUGUAGCGGUGAAAUGCGUAGAGAUCUGGAGGAAUACCGGUGGCGAAGGCGGCCCCCUGGACAAAGACUGACGCUCAGGUGCGAAAGCAUGGGGAGCAAACAGGAUUAGAUACCCUUGUAGUC